UACGAGUGCGUCGAGCGUUAUCCGGAAUCACUGGGCGUAAAGGGCGUGUAGGCGGUCAGGUAAGUGGGAUGUGAAAUCCCUCGGCUCACCCGAGGACCGGCAUCUCAUACUGCUUGGCUUGAGUACGGGAGAGGAUGUGGGAAUUCCUGGUGUAGCGGUGAAAUGCGUAGAUAUCAGGAGGAACACCGGUGGCGAAGGCGCACAUCUGGCCCGAUACUGACGCUGAGGCGCGAAAGCUAGGGGAGCAAACGGG
rnacentral:rRNA from 1 species